rnacentral:rRNA from 1 species
UUUAUGGAGAGUUUGAUCCUGGCUCAGGAUGAACGCUGGCGGCGUGCCCUACAUGCAAGUCGAGCGAACAGAUAAGGAGCUUGCUCCUUUGAAGUUAGCGGCGGACGGGUGAGUAACACGGUAACCUACCUAUAAGACUGGGAUAACUUCGGGAAACCGGAGCUAAUACCGGAUAACAUUUAGAACCGCAUGGUUCUAAAGUGAAAGAUGGUUUUGCUAUCACUUAUAGAUGGACCCGCGCCGUAUUAGCUAGUUGGUAAGGUAACGGCUUACCAGGCGACGAUACGUAGCCGACCUGAGAGGGUGAUCGGCCACACUGGAACUGAGACACGGUCCAGACUCUACGGGGAGCAGUAGGGAAUCUUCCGCAAUGGGCGAAAGCCUGACCAACGCCGCGUGAGUGAUGAAGGGUUUCGGCUCGUAAAACUCUAUUAGGGAAGAACAAAUGUAAGUAACUGUGCACAUCUUGACGGUACCUAAUCAGAAAGCCACGGCUAACUACGUGCCAGCAGCCGCGGUAAUACGUAGGUGGCAAGCGUUAUCGGAAUUAUUAUGUAAAGGCACGGCUCAACCGUGGAGGGUCAUUGGAAACUGGGAAACUUGAGUGCAGAAGAGAAAGUGGAAUUCCAUGUAGCGGUGAAAUGCGCAGAGAUAUGGAGGAACACCAGUGGCGAAGGCGACUUUCUGGUCUGUAACUGACGCUGAUGUGCGAAAGCGUGGGGAUCAAACAGGAUUAGAUACCCUGGUAGUCCACGCCGUAAACGAUGAGUGCUAGUGUUAGGGUUUCGCCCCUUAGUGCUGCAGCUAACGCAUUAAGCACCCGCCUGGGGAGUACGACCGCAAGGUUGAAACUCAAAGGAAUUGACGGGGACCCGCACAAGCGGUGGAGCAUGUGGUUUAAUUCGAAGCAACGCGAAGAACCUUACCAAAUCUUGACAUCCUUUGAAAACUCUAGAUAGAGCUUUUCUUCGGGGACAAAGUGACAGGUGGUGCAUGGUUGUCGUCAGCUCGUGUCGUGAGAUGUUGGGUUAAGUCCCGCAACGAGCGCAACCCUUAAGCUUAGUUGCCAUCAUUAAGUUGGGCACUCUAGGUUGACUGCCGGUGACAAACCGGAGGAAGGUGGGGAUGACGUCAAAUCAUCAUGCCCUUAUGAUUUGGGCUACACACGUGCUACAAUGGACAAUACAAAGGGCAGCUAAACCGCGAGGUCAUGCAAAUCCCAUAAAGUUGUUCUCAGUUCGGAUUGUAGUCUGCAACUCGACUACAUGAAGCUGGAAUCGCUAGUAAUCGUAGAUCAGCAUGCUACGGUGAAUACGUUCCCGGGUCUUGUACACACCGCCCGUCACACCACGAGAGUUUGUAACACCCGAAGCCGGUGGAGUAACCAUUUAUGGAGCUAGCCGUCGAAGGUGGGACAAAUGAUUGGGGUGAAGUCGUAACAAGGUAGCCGUAUCGGAAGGUGCGGCUGGAUCACUCCUUUC